CUCCCACGCACCCCUUUAUCCCGAGCCUCAAUCCAUUGCCGCUCCUCUUCUCCUCUCGUUACCACUGACCACCACGGCUCGACGCCGGCCGUUAGCCCUUCCACAUCUUCUUUGUCGCCUGAUGUCGAGCCAUCCUCAUUGUUCCAGCGAUCAUUGACGCUAUCCUGCCCCGAUUUCUACUCGACGCCAUUGUCUACGUGCGCUAUCUGAUCAUACCAACGCCGCCCACCGCUCUACGCCACCGUUGCUUGAAGGGAGGAGUCGAUGAAAGGGGCUAAGGGAGCCUCUCUCUCUCUCUCUCUCUCUCUCUCUCGUUCGUAGAUCUAAGUAGAACGAUGGCUAUUGCCACCAGUGAGGGCAUCGCCGCGAGUCCUCUCCUGUAAACAGUGCUGCCGCUGCCCUACUACGAUUUCUCCUCUUGUGCAUGCCCGAUCAUCGGAGGCUCGGCUGCCUUCGAGAGCCGAUGACGCUGCAAUGCCAAGAUUGAAGCCACACCGUCCUUGGUCGUGCCCUAGUGCCAUCGUUACCCUCCUCUGUACUGGAUCAACAUCACAGUAGCCCUGGAUCCUUCACUAUGCGACUAUAGAUUUGGAUUUGGGAUAAGUGUGUAGAUUUGGAUUAAUGCUGGAUGGAAUCCUAUCUUGGUUGUUUCAUUGGAUCGAUGUCAUUUCCUAGAAUUUGAAUUGUUGAUUUAGAGUUCUUGAUUUGCGGUGGCUAUCCUUCUUCAGCCAAGGAUUGACAGAAGGGGAUUAUUAAGGACGUUGAUUCGAGACGAGUGUCUGGACGUGGGAUGGUUUAACACGAUCUAUAUAUGAAAGCGAUCACGUCUCCCUUGUGAGUGAGUGAGUCGUCGGGCCGCACCGCACACUCGACCAUUCAUGGGUAGUGGUAGCUGGAGGAGAUGCAGCUUGCCCUUUCGUGCUCCCACUCACUCACUCAUGGGUAGUGAUAGCUGGAGUUGUGAGCAGCAAGAAACCCCAUCGUAGACGUAGCUAGUUAGCUACUAUACAACUAUCCCCUCAGCCACUCGAGAAUAGUGGUAGCUGGAGUGGUGUACAGUCUGUCACUGACUCGGCCUCUCGACCAUACAGGGGUUAUGAUAUAGAGGGGUGGGCGGGAGUGACCAUCCGUGCAUACGUUAUUGUUAUUAUACUUGCUUAUGCUGUUGUUGCUUACUUAUGCUGUCAUGCUUACACAUGUUGAGAUAUAUACUUGUUGUUUGUGUUUAGACACUAGCUUACUUAUUGGUAAUAUGUAUAUACAUCACAUAUUACCCUUGUAGUUAUGAGCAGUACUGUAACAGGUCUGUACUAUUCCUAACCUUAUAGCCUAGGAUAUGGUUUAAGGUAUGGACAUUUAUUAUGAUAUCAAUGUAGUAUCUGCUAUUUUCCUUACGAGACUAUAUAUCUUUGUAUCUCUAGUUCUUUAUUAUGUUCAUGCACUAUCUGUCUAAUACCCGCUGCGUCCCAGUACUCACCACCCCAUGAACUGAUUUA